CCGGCGCACGGGUGCGUAACGCGUAUGCAACCUACCUUAUACUGAGGGAUAGCCCAGAGAAAUUUGGAUUAAUACCUCAUGGUAUUAUUGAUAGGCAUCUAUUAAUAAUUAAAGGUUACGGCAUAAGAUGAGUAUGCGUCCCAUUAGCUAGUUGGUAGGGUAACGGCUUACCAAGGCUACGAUGGGUAGGGGUCCUGAGAGGGAGAUCCCCCACACUGGUACUGAGACACGGACCAGACUCC
rnacentral:rRNA from 1 species